GUGUACGUUUAGGCGUGAGAUGGAUUCCUU
rnacentral:piRNA from 1 species